AUAACCAAUGAUGGAUGAGUUGGGACUCACGAGACCUUGACACCAUAAGUCACAAAGGCAAGAUUCUCUUUCUGAGAAUUAAAAAGAAAAUUAUGAAUGCAUAGAAAUAUUUUAAAUAAGAGAAAGCCUGAAAAAUGAGGAACGUUGCUAUUUCAUGACAUUCUCCAGAUGAAAAGUGUGAAGCAGUUUAUGGCUAAACAUUUUUAUUUGUGGUCCAUUUUUUUCCCUUCUCUUUCUUUCUUCCUUUCUCUCCCUCUGCUUCCUCUCUACUUCCUUCUUCUCCUUUUUCUUCCUUCUUUUUGUUAGACAUUUCAGACUUGUCAAAGAAGCAAUGGGCCUACCAAGUUGAGCAAGACAACUUCAAUUAUGAAAAUUAUGAUUGGAGAAGUUUUAGCCACCUAUCUCUUCCUCUCCCAUAAGUUACCUGUGGUCAGCCACGGUCGGGAGGUGGAUUAUGCCUGUGAUAACAGAAGGUCAAUGGUAGCCUGACGCUACCCGUCCUUCACCUCACUUCAUCUCAUCUCAUUUUAUCAUCCCAUGUCACCACAAGAAAAAGGGCACCUGGGGAGACCUGACGACUAGCUGGCCUAGGCUGUUUCUUAAUGGCUUCCUGAGGCUGCAAUGAUGCCUGCUUCCCAUACUGCAAGUGCAUUAAAGGUAGGGAUGGGGCCACUCAUGAAGUUAUGGGCUGAGUUGGGUACCGUCCAUAUUCAACUGUUGAAAUCCCAACCCCUAGCUCUCCUCAGAAUGUAAUGAUAUCAGAGGUUAAAUUUGAAUGAGGCCGUUAAGGUGGGGCCCUCAUCCAAUGAGCAGCAUUCUUAUGAGAAGGAGAAACUAGGACACAGGUGGAGAGAUACUAGAGGUGCCUGUGAACAGAGGAUCGACCAUGUGAAGGGGGAUCCAGAGGGUAGCCAUGUUCAAGUCAACCAGAGAGGUCUCAGAGGAGACCAACUCUGUAGGCACCUUGACCUUGGACUAUCAGCUUCUUAACUGUGAGAAAAUAAAUAUCUGUUGUUUAAGCCACCCAGUCUGUGGUAUUUUAUUAUGGCCUCCAAGCAUACCAGUAUGUUUGGAUUCAUUAAUUCACUCAACAACUACUUGUUGAACAUUUACGAUGUGCCACAUACGGUUUAGAUGGCGGCACGUACAGAGCUGAGGAAGAAUCUGGGUCCUUGCUGUCAGAGAGUUUCUGUUUCGGUGGGAGGGGAAGGUCACUAAAAAGGUAAAGUAAUAAGCUGAUUUUAGAGAAUGGUAAGUGUUAUGAAGGAGACCCAACAGGAUUGUGUAAUGGAGAAUAUAGGGGAGCGGCUUUGGACAGGGCAUUCAGAAGAAGGCCUUUCGGGAGGUAAUGUUAGAGCUGAGACCUGAAAAUAAGAUUCAAGCCAUGCAAAGACAUGGGAAGGAGAGUGCGCAAAAGUCCUUGGGCAGGAGCACAUUGAUUGGUGUCUUUGAGGAACAGAGAGAAAGCCAGUGUGAGUGAGACAAAAGUGAUCAUUUAUGUCAAUUGGAAUUUAUGUCAAUUGGAUCAUUUAAGUCAAAUGGGCCGCAGUGGCUAGGGACACAGCUCUGCCCUCCUCAAAGUUGGCGAGGGUGGUCGAAGGUCACAAAUUGAAGGAAGCAUAUAUAGAGGUGAGAGACACAGAGCAGAAUCCUGACAAAGGAAUCUGGGCUCCACCUACAUGGUUG